rnacentral:lncRNA from 1 species
GACCGAGUCAAUUUAAAUUGGUCAAAAAUAUUGACUGUGAUGGAAGACUAGAUUUUUCAAUAAUGAAGACUUUUGUUAAUAAGAGAAGAUGAAUACUGUUGAUUCUCAGAUUAAUCAUGAUAUAACUAUGUUAUCUCUCUGAUGGUUUUUGCUAUUUUUGCUAUGUUAAGAAAAUAACAAUAAUAAUAAUAAUUUGAGUGUAUCAUGACUCGAGUUAGUUAAUUGUUGACCAAAUAUGGUCUAAUUUGUUAAGUAUCUAAAUAAACCAUGCAUU